rnacentral:rRNA from 1 species
CACGUAGGGCGCGAGCGUUGUCCGGAAUUAUUGGGCGUAAAGAGCUCGUAGGCGGCCUGUUGCGUCCGCUGUGAAAGCCCGGGGCUUAACCCCGGGUCGGCAGUGGAUACGGGCAGGCUAGAGGUAGGUAGGGGAGAAUGGAAUUCCCGGUGUAGCGGUGAAAUGCGCAGAUAUCAGGAGGAACACCGGUGGCGAAGGCGGGUCUCUGGGCCAAUACUGACGCUGAGGAGCGAAAGCGUGGGGAGCGAACAGG